GCGUGCCUAACACACGCAAGUCGAACGAGAAAUUCCGACUUCGGUUGGAAGAGUAAAGUGGCGCACGGGUGAGUAACGCGUGGGUAACCUGCCCCCGAAUCUGGGAUAACUUCGCGAAAGCGUUGCUAAUACCGGAUACUGUCCUUUUUGCUGUGGCAUCAAGGAUAAAAGAUGACCUCUUCAUGAAAGUUGUUGUUCGGGGAGGGGCUCGCAGUACCAUUAGCUUGUUGGUGGGGUAAUGGCCUACCAAGGCGACGAUGGUUAGCUGGUCUGAGAGGAUGAUCAGCCACACUGGAACUGAUACACGGUCCAGACUCCUACGGGAGGCAGCAGUGAGGAAUUNUUGCGCAAAUGGGGGAAACCCUGACGCAGCAACGCCGCGUGAGUGAAGAAGGCUUUCAGGGUCGUAAAGCUCUGUCAAGUGGGAAAAAAUCUCAUAAUGAAUAGUUAUAGAGGCCUGAUGGUACCACUGGAGGAAGCACCGGCUAACUCCGUGCCAGACAGCCGCGGUAAUACGGAGGGUGCAAGCGUUGAUCGGAAUUAU
rnacentral:rRNA from 1 species